rnacentral:rRNA from 1 species
GAGUUUGAUCCUGGCUCAGAACGAACGUUAGCGGCGCGCUUAACACAUGCAAGUCGAGCGAGAAAGGGCUUCGGCCCCGGUAAAGCGGCGCACGGGUGAGUAACACGUAGGUAAUCUGCCUCUGGGUGGUGGAUAACCUUCCGAAAGGAGGGCUAAUACAGCAUGAGACCACGGCUUCGAAAGGAGCAGGGGUCAAAGCCGGCCAAUUCACGAAAGCUGGCGCCUGGAGAUGAGCCUGCGGCCCAUCAGCUAGUUGGUAGGGUAAUGGCCUACCAAGGCGAAGACGGGUAGCUGGUCUGAGAGGAUGAUCAGCCACACUGGAACUGAGACACGGUCCAGACUCCUACGGGAGGCAGCAGUGGGGAAUCUUGCGCAAUGGGCGAAAGCCUGACGCAGCGACGCCGCGUGAGUGAUGAAGGCCUCGG